rnacentral:lncRNA from 1 species
CAAAUCAUGGUGAACUAUCAUGUAGUCGACGUUCACAUAACACCACUAGAGGAAAGACAACAUGCAUCUCAUCAAAAUAUCGAACGAAUACCAAACUCACAUGAUUACUUAUAACAAGACUUCUCCCAUGUCCUUAGAAACAAACGUAAGUACUCACAAAGCAUGUCCAUGGUCAAGAUCAGAGGGGUAUUGAAUAUCAUUAAGGAUCUGAACAUAUGAUCUUCCACCAAAUAAACCAACUAGCAUCAACUACGAAGAGUAAUCAACACUACUAGCAACCCACAGGUACCAAUCUGAGAUUUUGAGGCAAAGAUUGAAUACAAGAGAUGAACUAGGGUUUGAGAGGAGAUGGUGCUGGUGAAGAUGUUGAUGAAGAUUGACCCUCCCUCGAUUAUAGGAUCGUUGCUGAUGAUGAUGGCUUCGAUGUCCCUCUCCCGAAGGGAAGUUUCCCCGGCAGAAUAGCUCCGUCAGAGUCCUAAAUUGCUUCUGCCCCGGUUCCGCCUCGAGACGGUGGUGCUUUGUCCUGAAAGCUUCCUUAUGAAUUUUUCUAGGUCGAAACCCUCCAUAUAGCAGAAGAUGGACACCGGGGGCUGGUCAGGGGGCCCACAAGCUUGGGAGGCGCGCCCUGGGGGUAGGGCGCGCCCCCAGGAUUGUGGCCACCUGGUGGGUCCCCUUCUAUUGUUUCUUCACCCAAUAUUAUAUAUAUAUAUGUAUAUAUUCAUUCCAAAACAAUUUUCCGUAAAGUUUCAGGACAUUUGGAGUUGUGUGGAAUAGGUAUCUCAGAUUUGCUCCUUUCCGGUCCAAAAUUUGAGUUGUCAGCAUUCUCCCUCUUCAUGUAAAUCUUGUAAAAUAAGAGAGAAAAGGCAUAAGUAUUAUACCAUAAUGUUAAAUAACAAUCCAUAAUGCAAUAAAUAUCAACAUAAAAACAUGAUGCAAAAUGGGCGUAUCAGUGUCGGCCUCGGCUUCCUCCUCCAUUAGAGCCGUGAACGCCUCCUCGUCGUUGGAGUCCAUUGUUGAACAGACAAGUCUCCAAACACCUGGCGGGCGUGGUGGGUGGGGUAGCCGCCGGUAUCCCCGCCUGCGUGGUUUGAGCCAUGGAAAGCUCGCCCAGGAGCUGGUUGGAGGUUGUCGCGGUGAAACCCUCUCUUUCCGAUGGGGAAAUGGUAUUUCUAGCGGCUACGGGCAGGUGGGCGGCGCUGGAUCGGCAUGGCGGUAAAAGGGGAAGUGGUGUCCUGCGACACGCGGGUCGAAUCUGGGCGGGGAAAAGGCGUUUCUCGCCUGACAGUGGUGGCCCAUGCGCCACCUUUCCUUCUGCCGGAGCCCCCAAGUGCCCCCCCCCAGUGCGCUGGGUUCGGCCUGGGAUCGCCGGGCCAAAAAAUGGACUGAACCGGCGGAAUUCGGUGUCCUGGGGGCGACUGGGUUUUUUUUGUCGCUGGCGAAAAAAAUGGCGUCUUGGGGGCUUGUUGGGGGUGUGGCUGGAGAUGCUCUAAAUCAUUCGUUCACUCAAUGUUGCUCUACAUAUUGUGUAGCCGUACGCCUGACGUGAUGUACCAUAGGAAAGAGGGAUGUCCAUUUACGUACAUACACAUGAAAGUGCGUUAUAUCGACUAGAGGGGGUGAAUAGGCGAUUUUUAUGAAUUCUUCACUAAGGAAUUUGCUGGUGAGGAAAUUCCUAAAUGAAGAACUACUUGCAGAGGAAUAAGUACUCAAAAGUAAACAUAGCAGAACACACGCAUAGUAAUCAUGAAGAAAUGAAGACAAGCACAGAGUAAAGAAAGCGUAAACACGGGAUAACACCAGGAAGAAGACGGACAGACUGAAGAAAUAGAACUAAGGAAAUUGAGAAAGUCUUCAGUCAAUGUCUUCAGACAGAUAUGAACAAGCACACAACAAUAGAGAUGAGGAAAUUAAAGAGUUGAGGAAAUAGAACCAGUAAGCUCGGUGAAGACAAUGAUUUGGUAGACCAAUUCCAACUGUUGUCUCAGUUGUACAUCUGGUUGGAGCGGCUGAGUAUUUAAACUCGAGGACACCCAGUCCCGGACACAUAGUCCUCACCGUAUUCUCCUUGAGCUAAGGUCACACAAACCUCGCCCAAUCACUCGUGGUAAGUCUUCAGGUGACUUCUGAACCUUCACAAACUCGGUCACUCGGCGAUCCACAAUUCCUCUUGGAUGCUCUAGACCUUGACGCCUAACCGUUUGGAAGAAGCACAAUCCUCAAAGGAAACAAGCGUCGGAUCAACGCAGGAUCAAUCUCUUCAGUGAUGCUCAAUCACUUUGGGGUUUGUAGGUUGGGGUUUGGAUUUUUCCUCACUUGAUGAUUUUGCUCAAAGUCCUCGGAGGAUGGGUUGCUCUCAAAUGACAGGUGUCAGUUUCUCUCGGAGCAGCCAACCAGCUAGUGGUUGUAGGGGGCGGCUAUUUAUAGCCUAGGGAGUAGCCCGACAUGAUAAGACAUAAAUGCCCUUGUCUGAUAUGACCAUUAGGUGGGUGGAUAUUUUGGGACAACUGGCGCGUAGCACAGCAACGGUCGGAAUAUUUGACUCUCAAAUACCUCAGGGCUAUCAUGUUCCUCACUAUGUAGGCAAUCCACACUGGCGAAUUCUUAACUCCUCGGUCAGAAAAAAUUCCUCAGAGACCAGAAGAACUUUGUCUCUAUCACUGAAGAAUAUGGAUGAUCUGUAUGAGAUUUCCAAUGGCUUCACUCGAAGGGAUUGGUAGGUGUAGGAUUUGAGUUGAGCAUCACAUGGAAAUUUUUCCUUAGUAUUUCCUCGACCCCCUUUAACAGUACGGUGUUUCCUAUGACUCAAGAAAGAGAAAAUGAAACUAUAAAAACAAAAGUCUUCAAGCUUCAUGUUCCUCGAAUGGUUGCCAAGUCUUCAAUAUCAUACCAAUUUCUUCACUUUCAAAGUCUUCAGAAAUCCAAAGUCUUCAGUUGAAGAACUUCAUUUUUAGGGGUCGACUUUCUCUGUAAGUAUCAAACUCCUCAUAGACUUAUAGACUUGUGUACACUCACAAACGCAUCAGUCCCUUAACCUAUAAGUCUUCAAUACACCAAAAUCACUAAGGGGCACUAGAUGCACUUACAAUCUCCCCCUUUUUGGUGAUUGAUGACAAUAUAGGUUAAGUUUUGAACGGGGAGAAAUAUAUGAAGUGUAGAUACUGAUGUUGAGGAAUUUGAUUGCAAGAUAUAGAAGAACUCCCCCUGAAAAUGUGCAUAGUGAGGAAUUUGAUUUUGAAGCAAUGCACACUUGAAGAGUAUAAUCAUGGAGAUCUCCCCCUAUAUCUUGUAAUUCAUACACGCAUUUGAUAUAUAAUAUGAAGAAUUUGAAAUGCAAGAUGAAAUAUGGUGACUGAUGUAAUUCAGCAUGCGUGCAUUUACAUUAAUGGGGAGUAAGCAUGCAGAAGAACACAGCGAAAGUAUCAGGUCACCAUAGAGUUUAAUAUUACAACUCGAUCCAGCAAAGUCAUUAGAAGAACGAGAGUUGUAACUUAGCAAAAAAACGCCCAUAUAAGAUAGACCCGCUUGAAGACUAACUCAAAUUUCUCCCCCUUUGUCAUCGAAUGACCAAAAGUGUUGAAACUGAGGACUAACGCCCCUGAGGAAUAUCAUGUUGAUGGAGGAGCGCCAGCAUUGUCACGGUCUUGAGUCGUUGUAGGGCCUGCUGCAGUGUCGUCCAAGUCUUCAUGCUCGUCCGUGGCGCGUGAUGAAGAAUAUGAGCUAGCCACCAAGGAAGGAACCUUGACCUUCUUGAAUCUCUUCGGUGGAGGAGCAGACCAGUCAAAGUCUUCCUUGAAGCCCAUUUGCUUCAGAUCUUCUUCACCAUAUAGAUGUGACAGAAUAGCCCGGGUGUGAUCAAACACUUCAUGGAGGUAGUAGUGGUUUUUCUUCACUGCAUUAUGUGUAGAAGUCAUGUUGUGAAGAAUAGAGCCAAACUGACGCUUAACCCACUUGUGGUUUCGAUCCACCUUCUGGUGAAGACUUAUAAGCAGUUCACGGUCAGUCAUCACACGUGGAGCAGUAGCUUGAGGACUUGACUUGGGAGCAUUGGCAGCAGAAUCAUGAGUGGCAGAGUCAUCAUUGGUGGAGUAAGAUGCAGCUUUGCGGAACUGACCAUCCAAUGGACGAAUGCCUUCAUCGAUCACGGCUGGUGACUUGCCCUUCUCAUCAGAUGAGGAAAUUGUCCGCUUGAGGACUUCAAUAGGGGGAAAGUAGCUGAGGUGAUUCUAAAAAUCAGCCUUGUAGUUGAGUGAAGACCUUGUUCUGAGGAAUCUCAUGAUCCACGGCGCGUAAGGCUUCAUCUCAAAUGGAGAAAGUGCAACAUUCGCCAGAGUCAUCAUGAAGAAAUCAUGAUAAUUUAUGGGGAUGCCAUGCAUGAUGUUGAAAAGCAUAUUCUUCAUCAUUCCGAUAAUUUCUUCAUCGGAUGAGUCAUGGCCUUUGAUGGGACUCAUGGUCUUCGUCAGAAUGAGGUAGAUGGUUCUGGGCACAUAGAGCAAUUCCUUCACGAGGAAUUUGGUCCUUGGAGCUUGUCCUGGCUUCAGUGGCUUCAUGAGCACUUGCAUAUAGUGAUCGAUGAGUUCAGGCUCAUCAUACGGACAACGAGCACUGUCAGGUGGAGGACUGAUUGGUAAGGCAUGAAGCAAUUCAGAGACUGGUGCCUUGUAAUGAGUGUUUUCAGUCAUCCAGUCCAACACCCACGAGUUGACGUCGGCAGCAUUGCCUGUGAUAUGCAAAGUUGCGUAGAACUGAAGAAUAAGCUCUUCAUUCCAAUCAACUAUGUCAGAGCAGAAAUUGAGCAAGCCAGCGUCAUGAAUCAUGCUGAGGACUUGAGAGAAGCAAGGCACGGAUUCCAUGUCCACAUGAGGAAUAUGCUCAUGAUAGAAGACUUUGUCCUUGUUGAGGAGCACUGAGGAAUAGAAGUUGGCCUGGCUGGCAGUCCAGAAACGCUUCCUUCUGAGACGAGCAUUGUCAUAUGGGUUGAAUUCAGUGAAGAAUACGUGCUCGCCUAAGAAAUCAUCAGCCUUGAAUUUUUGCUUCUUGGAGAAGGGAUCCUUUGGCUUGGGCUGAGGAGUGUCAGUCAAUUGCAGCACCACUUCAGGAAUCACAAUCUCAGGUUCCUCAGGCUGAGGAAUUUCAGGCUCUUCAGCAGCUUCAGCCUGGGUCGUCAAUUCUUCAUUGACAAUUUCUUCAGCACUAGUGGCUGGAAUUUCUUCAUGAACACCUGGGGUUGCAUGAGGUUCUUCAGAUCCCAUUUGCACUUCAGUGGCGGCAGGGGACUGAGGAAUAGCUUGGAGUGGAGUGAACAUUUGAGAGUUCGGAUGUUGACUGUCCCAAAAUUCAUCAUUGAGCACAGGAGUGGUACACCCAAUGUCCACAUCCUCAUCUUCAAUUUCUUCAACACCUGCCUCUUCAACAGUAAACUGAGGCAUAGGUGAGGAAAUGACUGGGGUUGAAGGGAUCUUAUCCACUUCAAUUUCUUCGUCCAACUACUCUGACGAAGCAGCAGAAGGAGUUUCUUCAUCAGAUUCAUCAGGAAUCACAUAAUCAUCACCAAAUGGAACAAGGUCCUUUGAUGGCAUUGAUGAGACUGGAACGGCAUCAAUUGGAUUGUCAAUUGAACUGAUCAGAGUCUUCAUCUUCUUCGGAGCUGAAGAAUUUGAAGAAGUUGAUGCCUUCUUUUUCUUCACAGCUGCACGUUCUGCAGCCUUGGUCUUCUUCGCAUCUAAUGCAGAUGGAAGGAUCGGAGUUGGUGUAGGCGCAGGAGGUGCAGAGGACUUUGGUUCAUUUUCCUCAGGCACAACUGAUGCAGUUGUCCUGAUUUGUUCACUUUCUUCAGGCGCACCACUAGUGGGUGCCCUGGAAAUAUCUUCAGCAGCUGGAAUGGAGUCAUCAGCCCUGGCACUCUCAUUUUCUUUAGCAGCCUGAAUGUCAUCAGCGGUGCUGGCAAGUUCUUCAGUAGGCUGAGCAAAUGCUUCAGCCUGAGUACUUCAACGUGCACAGGUGGAGCAGCACUUGAAGUGAAUGUCUUCGUCAGAUUGACGAAACGCACCUUGGCACCCUUCCAAUCAGCAUAGUAGCGAUCAAAUUCAUCGCUCAGUUGUUUGAUUUCCACUUGCAAAGCAAGGAGCUGAUCAGGAGUGAGAGUGAGGACAUUGCCCUUGAGGUAGCGCUGUUUCUUGUACUGCGAUUUCUUCAAACUUCUACCUUGUUCAAAUUUCCAUUUGUCUUCCUCAAUGAAGGCAGUAAGAACAUGACUUUGACCAGGAGUGAGGUUCAUCUUCGGCAAAGGCGUGUUAGGAUCCUUGUGCCACAGGUUAAUGUAGUCGAGGAUCAACUUUGGAUCCAGCAUCAGCGGCACAUUGCUGCCUUUGGCUCUAGUGGCCCUGGCUUGCCUGUUUCUGAUGAUUUCGGCAAGUUCUUCAUCAUCCGCCUCAUCAUCAUCAGAGGGCACUUGGAAAGCGACUUGCUUCUUGUGAGGACUUGGUCGAAUACCUCGUCUAGCAGUGGCCUUUUUCUUCAGCAGUGAGGGACCAGCUGAGGAAGUUCGAGCAGCUGAGGAGCUUGUAGAUGCUCCUGAGGCAAUAGAGAAGCCUUGAGUCCUUUGGCACAUGGCGAGAUGCACAGGUGCCGAGGAUUUUGUCGGAGCAGCUGAAGAGUUUGAAGGAGGAGCUGAGGACUUUGAAGGAGCAGUCUGAGGAAUUUGCCGUGAGGGCCUUGAAGAAUCUGUCCUUGAUGGCAUAGCAGAGGAGCUUGGCCGUGAGGGCAUUGAAGGUGAAGCACUGGACUUGUGCGCAUGCUUCUUGUGCAUUGCCUUCUUUGGCUGACUAGUAGAGGCCUCAGCAGAGGCAGCAGUAGUAGCAGAGUCUGCGUUGAAUUUCUUCACUGCUUCCUUUGCUUGCUUAGCCAGUUUGGCUUGGCGCUUCGCCCAUUCAUCAGGAUAAUCCUGACCGCACUUGAGGCUGGUGGGAUCUGCCAACUGGCGUGGUGCCAAUGGAGGUCUUGGGCAUGGAGGGUUGAGUGUGAAUUUCUUCAUAUACUUGGGAGUGACAUAUCUGUACUCCCUCCAUUCUCGUGCCCAUCUCCUCUCUAUCCUUUGUAUGCGCACCUUGCGCUGAUUCUUGUCCUCUUUGCCGAAUUUGGCUUCAUCAGGUGUGCAGUAGUCCUUGUAUAUGUCCUCAGGAAUUUCAAACGUAGUAUUGACCUCAAGCCUCUUUCCUCCCUUCUGUGGCCUUUUGUCACCCAUUUUCUUCAGCUGAGGAAUAUGAAUAACUGAAGUUUCUGAAGAGGUGUGCAACUUUUCUUCGAGGAACGCUGCAAAUGAGUUAAGUUGAUGAGAACCUAGUGAUUCAGCAGCGGACAUCUGUACCUGUGAACAGAGUAUAGUUGCGAGGAAUUUGGAGAGGUCAUAUGCGUUCUCAGAAGGUUUUUCAAAAAGAAUAGGUUUUGAGGAAUUUGACCAGGUGAGUCUUGAGGAAUUUCACUAAGUGUUCUUUGUCUUAGGUUCUAGAGUUGUAUAGAUUGAGAAUCCACACAAUUGAGGAAUCUUGAAGAAAAUCAUUGCUUAGAGAAACAAAUCAAGAGCAGAUGACGUGUGAGGUGUUAAUGUGUGUGAAGAUUUGAAGGAUAAACACCUUUGAAGAUUUUUUUAAGAAAACUUGAGAAUCAAAGCGAGCAAUAAAAGUAACUUUUAAUUACCCAAAGUGAAGAACACGACAAACUGGGAAGAACAGAUGUGAAGUUCGUCAGGUCAGAUCUUCCACGCCCUAACUUGGCAGAGGAAGACGGCUACAGCGGCGGCGGAGUGAAGAAAUCCGCAGCCGGCGCGAGUACAACAGCGACGAGGUUGAGGCAGUGAAGCUCUUCCUCACCGGUGAUGAUGAAGUAGCGAUGGCGCUAGGGUUUUGGGGAAGCUCGAGCAGGAGAGAGCGCGAGCGAGGUGAAAGUGAAGUGACGAAGAGACAGGGGUAUUUAUAGAGAGAGUGAAAAACUGUUCAACGAGGAAAUCGGACGAACAUGCCCCUGGCCCCUUCUCAUUCGCUUGACAUGUGUCACCCACGUACUGAGAGGUGGCGAUCGUGUGAGAUCGUGGGUGAGUAGAUAAGUAUUAUCGUGAGAAGCGGAACGGUUUGAGCGGCAAAGCCGAAAAUUCAGAUAAGAUAAGUUAAAAGUUCCAUUCGCAAUUUGUUCAGCUGUCAAGGACACAAUGAAGAUUUUGAACAAGUUUCAAAUAGAACGCACAUGAAGAAUUUGUGAAUAGAGUGGGUUGAGUUUAGCAUAGAGGGGGAAGGGUCCGAUCACAUUCACUUAGCAGAAGAAAUCAACUUGAAGAAAUNNNNNNNNNNNNNNNNNNNNNNNNNNNNNNNNNNNNNNNNNNNNNNNNNNNNNNNNNNNNNNNNNNNNNNNNNNNNNNNNNNNNNNNNNNNNNNNNNNNNNNNNNNNNNNNNNNNNNNNNNNNNNNNNNNNNNNNNNNNNNNNNNNNNNNNNNNNNNNNNNNNNNNNNNNNNNNNNNNNNNNNNNNNNNNNNNNNNNNNNNNNNNNNNNNNNNNNNNNNNNNNNNNNNNNNNNNNNNNNNNNNNNNNNNNNNNNNNNNNNNNNNNNNNNNNNNNNNNNNNNNNNNNNNNNNNNNNNNNNNNNNNNNNNNNNNNNNNNNNNNNNNNNNNNNNNNNNNNNNNNNNNCACCGGAAAGAGUGAAGACAAUGCAAAAUUGAAGAAUUUGAAAAACUGAGGAAUUUCAGGAACAAAGAAAAACUCAAAUUGAAGAUUUUCAACUUUGGUUGGUGGCGUAACCCACUGUAUAAGAAAGCUGAUUUCAGACGCCGCGUACAAUUGUCGUAGAGCUCUGAGAAUCAAUUUCUUCAUUAAUUUCUUCACAAUUAGAGGGUUAGUCUUCAUUGAUUGAAGAAAAACAUUACUUUGUGUGUUGCACAUCUAAGUCAUCAAGUCAGCAUAAGUGUUAGGAUGUGUGUCCAUUUCAUAGAACAUUCGAAGAUUCUAGGAUAUUUAGCUCACACCGCAACUUGCCAAAUCUCUUCUCAUCCAAGGGCUUAGUGAAUAUAUCGGCUAGCUGAUCUUCAGUGCUAGCAUGGUCGAUGGAGAUGUCGCCCUUCAACACAUGAUCACGAAGAAAGUGAUGACGAAUCUGGAUGUGCUUUGUCUUCGAGUGCUGAACUGGGUUAUGAGCAAUCUUGAUAGCGCUCUCAUUGUCGCAGUAGAGAGGCACAUUCUUCACGUUGAUGCCAUAGUCCUUGAGUGUUUGCUUCAUCCAUAGUAAUUGAGCACAACAUGAUCCAGUAGCAAUGUACUCAGCUUCUGCAGUGGAGAGUGAUACGCAGUACUGUUUCUUCGAGGACCAACAGACCAAAGAUCGUCCGAGGAAAUGACAUGUGCCUGAUGUUGACUUGCGGUCCACGCGAUCGCCAGCAUAGUCAGAGUCUGAAUAUCCAAUGAGAUCAAAUGAAGAGCCCUUGGGAUACCAUAAUCCAAGUGUUGGUGUGUGAGCUAGAUAUCAAAGAAUAUGCUUCACAGCCUUAUGGUGUGAUUCCUUCGGUGUAGCUUGAAAUCGGGCACACAUGCAAACACUAAGCAUAAUAUCCGGCCUAGAUGCACAUCGGUAUAAUAAGGAACCAAUCAUGGAGCGGUAUACCUUUAGAUCGAAGUCUUUACCAUUUUCAUCAGUGCAUAGAUGGCCAUUUGUGGGCAUUGGAAUUUUGACCCCUUUGCAGUCUUGCAUGCCGAAUUUCCUCAAUACUUCUUUGAGGUAUUUCUCCUGAGAUAUGAAUAUGCCAUUGCACUGUUGACGAAUUUGAAGACCUAAAAAGAAUUUCAAUUCUCCCAUCAUAGACAUUUGAUAUUCUUCACUCAUCAUAUAGGCAAAUUCAUCACUAUAUCGUUGGUCAAUACAGCCAAAGAUAAUAUCAUCAACAUAUAUUUGGCACACAAACAAUUCAUCAUCAUAAGAUUUAGUGAAAAGAGUUGGGUCGAGUGAACCGGGUUUGAUGCCUUUCUUCAUGAAGAAUUCCUUCAAAGUAUCAUACCACGCCCGAGGGGCUUGCUUGAGGCCAUACAAGGCCUUGUUGAGUCUGAAGACUUUGCCGGAAUUCUUUGGAUCUUCAAAACCUGGGGAUUGAGCAACAUAUACUUCUUCCUCAAGCUUACCAUUGAGGAAUGCACUUUUCACAUCCAUUUGAUAUAAAGUGAUAUUAUGAUGGUUAGCGUAAGCAAGUAAUAUGCGAAUAGCCUCAAGUCUAGCAACAGGUGCAAAAGUUUCAUCGAAAUCAAUACCCUCAACCUGUGUGUAGCCUUGAGCUACAAGCCGUGCCUUAUUCCUCACCACAAGGCCAUUUUCAUCUUGCUUGUUGCGGUAGAUCCAUUUUGUGCCAAUGAUGUUGUGCUUGCGAGGAUCUGGACAUUUGGCCAGUUCCCAGACAUUGUUGAGCUCGAACUGAAGUAAUUCUUCUUGCAUAGCUUGAAUCCACUCAGGCUCCAGAAAUGCUUCAUCUACCUUAGUGGGCUCUAUGAUAGAGACAAAAGCAAAGUGCCCACAAAAGUUAUAUAAAUGUGAAGCCUUUGAGCGAGUGAGAGGACCUAGUGCUCUAAUAUCAUCGAUGAUCUUCUCGACUUGCACUUCGUUUGCAAUGCGAGGAUGAGUGGGUUGUCUUCGAAGAAUUUGAUCAGCAUUUCCUUCAGGAGCAUUUUCUUCAGCACCAUUUUCUUCAGGUGCGCCAGCUUGAUGUUCAUCACGUUCUGGAAUGAAUUCUUCAGUAGGAAUGACAUCCUCAGUAGCCUUGAACUUGAUAGAAUCCUCAGGUGCUGGUUCAUCUAUCACAAAAGGUAGGUGCUCUCUUUGCGAGCCAUUAGUUUCAUCAAACCGCACAUCUACAGUUUCAACAACCUUGUGAAGAACACUGUUGAAGACUCUAUAGGUGUGCGAGUCCUUUCCGUAACCAAGCAUAAAACCCUCAUGUGCUUUCGGUGCAAAUUUAGAAUUGUGAUGUGGAUAUCUAAUCCAACAUUUAGCACCGAAGACUUUGAAGUAACUUACAUUGGGUUUCUUGUCAGUGAGGAGUUCAUAGGCAGUCUUCUUGAAGAAUUUGUGUAGAUAUACUCUAUUGAUGAUGUGGCAAGUGGUAUCAGUUGCAUCAAUCCAGAACCGACGAGGUGUUUUGUAUUCAUCAAGCAUAGUGUGAGCCAUUUCAGCGAGGGUUCCGUUCUUGUGCUCCACGACGCCAUUCUGCUGAGGAGUAUAAGGAGUAGAUAACUCAUGAGUAAUACCAAGUUCAUCAAGAUAGCCAUCAAGACCGGAAUUCUUGAACUCAGUCCCAUUAUCACUUCUGAUGUGCUUGAUCUUCACACCAAAGUUGGUUGAAGCCCUCGAGGAAAAUCGUUUGAAGACUUCCUACACCUCAUGUUUGUAAGUGACAAUGUGCACCCAUGUGUAACAAGAAUAAUCAUCAACAAUAACAAAGCCAUAUAGAGAUGCAUCAUUUGUAACAGCAGAAUAAUGAUUAGGACCAAAGAGAUCCAUGUGAAGCAAUUCAAAUGGUCGAGUGGUGGUCAUGAUAGUCUUCGCUGGAUGCUUGGCCUUUGUCAUCUUCCCAGCUUCAUAGGCUCUGCAUAAAUGAUCCUUGAGGAAUUUGACAUUCUCAAAGCCAAUGACAUGCUUCUUCUUUGCGAGCGUGUGCAGAUUCCUCAUGCCAGCAUGACCAAGUCGUUGAUGCCAUAGCCAGCCUUCUGAAGCUUUUGCAAGUAAGCACACGGCAGGUUGUGGUCCUGUAGAGAAAUCAACAAUGUACAAGUCUCCUCUCCUAAAGCCUUUGAAGACUUUGGAAUUGCCAGCUUCCAUGAUCACAACGCAACGAUACUUGCCAAAGACAACAACCAUAUCAAGAUCACAAAGCAUUGAGACAGACAUGAGGUUGUAACCUAAGGACUCGACAAGCAUGACUUCGUCCAUGUGUAUGUCCUUAGAGAUUGCAACCUUACCUAGACCCAAUACCUGACUUUUGCCUUUGUCAGCAAAGAUGAUAUGCUUCAGAUGUGACGGUGAUAAAGGAGCAUCCAUCAAUAGAUUCUUGUCACCAGUCAUGUGAUUUGUACAUCCACUAUCGAGGACCCACUCAUUGGCUUUGGGUUUAUCAUCCUGUAGAUGAAUUAGUGCAUCUUACAAACUCAUAUACUUCAUCAGUGAAGAAUAUGACAUCAAUAUCAUCAGAUCAAUUUCUUCAAGCAAUUAAAACAGAUAAGCUGUUAGGAGGACGUGUGAAAUGAAAGUUCAUUUCAUCAUUAUUAGCAUGCGUCCUAUCAGGCACUGUUCGGGUCUCCAGCAAAUUCUUCAGUCGUUUUGAGCACGACUGGAGACCUGAUCCUGCAAAAGAGAUUAGUUCUUUUUCUUCACCACCCACAUCUGGAGGGGUGGCAAAGAAUUCAUCACUCUGCGAGCACCAUAUGAGAAAGGUGGCAUAGACACCAGUCCACUUUGUUUCACAUAAGAAGGGUUAGGAUAAGCAUAUGAAUAAGCAGAGAAAUUCUUUGAGGACUUAUGAACAUAAUGAUUUGAAGAAUAAUGCACAUAUUCAUAGCCCUUAGCUCUACCCUGCAAAACAGAAGGGUUAGCACGAUGAUGAUCAUAUGAGGACUUUAAUCCUUUUGAGGAAUUUGAUCCAUGUGAGGAAUUUGGUCCACUUGAGGACUUGGAUCCAUAUGAAGAAUUUGGUUCAUAUGAAGAAUUUGAUCUGGAGUUCCUAUUCUUCACAGGUGGUGUCAUGAGGACAUUCACCUGAAGGCUUUCAAGGCAACUUUUGGGAACCCAGAUUUUCUUCAUAGGGGAACCGUUCCUGCAGUUAGUCCCAACAUAUCUAGCAAAUACUUCACCAUUCUGAUUUUUGAACAGUCUAUAGUUAGAGUCAAAUGACUCAUCAGAAGAAUGGAGAGAUUCACAUGUAAAGCCAGAUAAGUUGGAUGGAUCAACUGGAGGUCCCUUUGCAGCAACCCAUGAGAUUUUGGGGUACUGCUCAGGCUUCCAAUAUGUUCCAUCAGCAUUGAGUUUCCUCUCAAAGGAAAUACCCUCUUUCCUAGGGUUUCUGUUGAGGAUCUGCUUUUUGAGCACAUCACAAAGAGUCUAAUGCCCUUUGAGGCUUUUGUACAUGCUUGUCAUGUAAAAUUCCUUUAGCCAUGCAUCAUCAGUGAUACUUGCAUUGUCCUGAGAUGAGGAAUUAGUGAUAGCAGAGACAGGUGAAGAAUUUGUAACAUUAGAAGCAUUUGAACAUCCAGGUGAAGAAUUAGCAGUUUCACGUUCAAUGCACUUUAGACAUGGAGGAAUAAAUUCUUCCUGAGUAGCGUUGAUUUGUUGAGCUAGUAAUGAAUCACACUCCUUCUAAAGAUCUUCAUAACUCACUCUUAGCUUCUCAAGAUCUUGCUUUCUUUGAAGAAAUUCAUAAGAAAGCUUCUCGUGAUCAGAUAAGAGAGUGUUAUGAUGACUUUGAAGAUUGUCAAACUUAGACUGAAGUCUCUGAAGAUUUUCAGUUAAGUUUUUAGUGCGAUCCAUUUCUUCACCCAACAUAUCAUCACUUUUGUCUAGCAUGUUUUGAAGCUUAUCAAUAGCCUUUUGUUGUUUCAUAGCAAGUUUAGAGUAGCUAGGCUUAAGAUUUUCAUCAGAUUCAUCCUCACUUGAUUCAGAGGAGGGGUAUUUAGUUACCUUGGCACCCUUUGCCAUGAAGCAAUAGGUGGGAGCAUAGUCAUCAUUACCUUCAUCAGCAUUGUUGGUGUUGCCAUUUUCUUCAGAGUUGAAGAUAGACUUGUUGACAAACGUGGUAGCAAGAGCCAGGCUUGCCACACCAGACUCGGACUCCUCAGAUGCCUCCUCUUCCUCAUGAUCCUUAGAUUCAGCCUUGGAAUCCAUUUCCUUGCCUAUGAAUGCCCAAGCCUUCUUGGAGAUGCUCUUCUUGUGAGAUGAAGACUUUGAGGAUUUUGAUGAUGAAGACUUUGAAUAUUUCUUCUUCUUCUUGGCAUCAUCAGAAUUGUAAUCCUUGUAUUUCUUCUUCUUCAGUUCCUUAUCCCGCUGAGGACAAUCUUGAAUGUAAUGAUCAGGUUUCUUGCACUUGUGACAUAGCCUUUUCUUGUAGUCAUUGGAUGAGGAAUGAUUGCUCCUUGAGGAUUUUCCAAAGCGACCACGUCUUGAGAACUUCUAAAAUUUCUUCACGAGCAAUGCUAGUUCCUGGCUUAGUUCUUCGGGAUCACCAAGGCUGCUAGUGGAGCCCUCUUCUUCAGACUCAGAGACUACCUUGGCCUUCAAAGCACAUGGUUUACCAUAGCUUGAACCAUAGAGAUCUCUCUUCUCGGCAAGCUGGAACUCAUGAGUGUUUAGCCUCUCGAGGAUAUCAGCAGGAUCAAGUGACUUGUAAUCAGCACGCUCUUGAAUCAUCAGUGCCAGGGUGUCAAAUGAAGAAUCGAGCGAUCUCAGCAAUUUCUUCACCACCUCAUGGUCGGUGAUAUCAGUGGCGCCAAGCGCUUGAAGCUCAUUUGAGAUAUCAGUGAGGCGAUCGAAGGUUUGCUGAACAUUUUCAUUGUCGAGUCUUUUGAAGCGGUUGAAGAGAUUGCGAAGGACGUCAACACGAGAGUCACGUUGAGUUGAGACUCCUUCAUUUACUUUGGAGAGCCUAUCCCAGAUAAGCUUAGUAGUUUCCAAAGCACUCACUCUACCAUAUUGCCCUUUGCUCAGAUGGCCACAUAUGAUAUUCUUCGCUUGAGAAUCGAGUUGAUUGAAUCUCUUCACAUCAGUAGCAUUCAGGGAAGGUGUGACUGAGGGAACACCAUUUUCCACAACAUACCAGAGAUCGUUGUCAAUUGCCUCAAGAUGCAUUCGCAUCUUAUUCUUCCAAUAGGGGUAGUCCGUUCCAUCGAAGGUAGGACACCCAGCAGAGACCUUGAUCAUACCUGCGGUCGACAUAACUAAAACUCCACGCGGUUAAACCAAAAUGACAUAGAACAAGGGAGUACCUUGCUCUGGUACCAAUUCAAAGUGCAUUAUAUCGACUAGAGGGGGUGAAUAGGUGAUUUUUAUGAAUUCUUCAUUGAGGAAUUUGCUGGUGAGGAAAUUCCUAAAUGAAUAACUACUUGCAGCGGAAUAAGUACUCAAAAGUAAACAUAGCAGAACACACGCAUAGUCAUCAUGAAGAAAUGAAGACAAGCACAGAGUACAGAAAGCGUAAACACGGGAUAACACAAGGAAGAAGACGGACAGACUAAAGAAAUAAAACUGAGGAAAUUGAGAAAGUCUUCAGUCAAUGUCUUCAGACAGAUAUGAACAAGCACACAACAACAGAGAUGAGGAAAUUAAAGAGUUGAGGAAAUAGAACCAGUAAGCUCAGUGAAGACAAUGAUUUGGUAGACCAGUUCCAACUACUGUCUCAGUUGUACAUCUGCUUGGAGCGGCUGAGUAUUUAAACUCGAGGACACCCAGUCCCGGACACACAGUCCUCACCGUAUUCCCCUUGAGCUAAGGUCACAUAGACCUCGCCCAAUCACUCGUGGUAAGUCUUCAGGUGACUUCUGAACCUUCACAAACUCGGUCACUCAGCGAUCCACAAUUCCUCUUAGAUGCUCUAGACCUUGACGCCUAACCGUCUGGAAGAAGCACAUUCUUCAAAGGAAACAAGCGUCGGAUCCAUGCAGGAUCAAUCUCUUCAGUGAUGCUCAAUCACUUUGGGGUUUGUGGGUUGGGGUUUGGGUUUUUCCUCACUUGAUGAUUUCGCUCAAAGUCCUCGAAGGAUGGGUUGCUCUCAAAUGACAAGUGUCAGUUUCUCUCGGAGCAGCCUACCAGCUAGUGGUUGUAGGGGGGCGGCUAUUUAUAGCCUAGGGAGCAGCCCGACAUGAUAAGACAUAAAUGCCCUUGUCUGAUAUGACCGUUAGGUGGGUGGAUAUUUUGGGACAGCUGGUGCGUAGCACAGCAACGGUCGGAAUAUUUGACUCUCAAAUACCUCAGGGCUAUCAUGUUCCUCACUGUGUAGGCAAUCCGCACUGGUGAAUUCCUAACUCCUCAGUCAGAACAAAUUCCUCAGAGACCAGAAGAACUUCGUCUCUGUCACUGAAGAAUAUGGCUGAUCUAUAUGAGAUUUCCAAUGGCUUCACUCGAAGGGAUUGGUAGGUGUAGGAUUUGAGUUGAGCAUCACAUGGAAAUUUUUCCUUAGUAUUUUCUCGACCCCCUUUAACAGUACGGUGUUUCCUAUGACUCAAGAAAGAGAAAAUGAAACUAUAAAAACAAAAGUCUUCAAGCUUCAUGUUCCUCGAAUGAUUGCCAAGUCUUCAAGAUCACACCAAUUUCUUCACUUUCAAAGUCUUCAGAAAGUCUUCAGAAAUCCAAAGUCUUCAGUUGAAGGACUUCAUUUUUAGGGGUCGACUUUCUCUGUAAGUGUCAAACUCCUCAUAGACUUAUAGACAUGUGUACACUCACAAACGCAUCAGUCCCUUAACCUAUAAGUCUUCAAUACACCAAAAUCACUAAGGGGCACUAAAUGCACUUACAACACAGUCGAAUAAAGCUGAAUGGGCAGUAUGUGUGGGAUGGCAUGAUCCGUUGAAACUUGUUGGACAUUGAAUUUGAGACAUUGGUGUACUACACUUAUUUGCAUGCUAUGUAUGGAUGAUUUGUGUUUUUUGUUUUCCAAACUUUGAUGAAUAUCCACUGGUUUGCAUGAAUUUCGUCCGCUAAGUCGAAACCCGACUUGAAAUAUAUGCGGGCAGCGUUGGAUGGCUGGCUCCAGCAUCCAUGUCCACGGACUGGUACCCCCUGUCCGCAGAUGGAUGCCGGAGCAAAUUUGUGGGUCAGCAUUGGAGAUGCCCUAAUCUAUAACAGGAAUUGCAUCAAUUUAAUUUUGAUCAACUCCAUAGGAAAAAAUGAGCGUAGCUCAGAUGGUUAGGUUCCUUGUGAUGAAACCAACCCACCAUGGUUGAAGUCCUAAACUUGGCAUUGGUGCUCGUAUUUUUCUUGGUUUAUUUCAGUGAGAGAGACGUUUCCCUCAACUAUGAGGGUACAUGUGGUGACUUCGUCAAUCUCAAAAUAUUGUGCUACCUCGGUCACUCGAAGGUGCUCAUAGGGGUUGUGUGGGCAUCUGCGUUGUACUGUGUCAAAAAAGUUCGCAAUUUUUUAUGCAUAGUAUGAAAAUGUAUUUCAUGAUACAUACGUAACACACCACCACCGCCACCUCUCUCUCUCUCUCUCUCUCUCUCUCUCUCUCUCUCCCGCAUCGAACAAGGGACCUCCCUCUCACGUCGCCUCCCCCGCGGGCGGCUUGGGAGGGCUCAGCCGCCACCGCCGCCUAGUAACCCUCCAGCGCCCUUCUUCCCCUCCACCGUUGCCAAUGGUCGGCUCCGGGCAAAGCCCGUGCGUGCGACGGCGGCGGCGGAGGGUCUCUCCUCCCUCUCUCGGAACCGCGGCGACUUGGGCGUCCUGAUCCGCGGGGUGCGGCCCCCCCGACGGUGUGGCGGAUCCCGGAGGCGGCGGUGCACGGGCGCCCAGAUCCAUGGGUGUGGGAUUCCCGACAGCGUGCGGGCUCCCGGCGGCGGCGGGAUCGGUCGACGAUGGGAUUGGGCGAUGGCGCCGCUCGCGUGGUGUUGGAUCUCAUCGCUCAUGGCGGAUCUCGCCACUCCGGCCAUCAUGGAGGAACCUGGACCUGGGGCGGCGGCCCCGUUAGGCAUGGUGAUGGCGCCCUCGGCUGGCGACGUUCGCGGGGGGUGGAUGGACGGCGUCUUGACCACGUGGGCAGUGAGUCAACGGUGGAUCUCCUCUGCGCUGCAGGCUCUCUCCCGCUGCAGUUGGUGGCUUACGAUCGCGGUCGUCGGCCUCGGUGCGUUCGCGGGGGCUGGUAGAGGUAACAUCGGACCGGAGGAAACUCUGGAUGACUCGUUCAUCCUGAUGGUGGCGACGACCAAGGUCGCCGUUCUCCUCCUUGCAGGCGCCGUCAAGGUCCCCGCCCUCCACCCCGACCCCAUGCCAGGGUGAAAACCCAGAAUCUCCUUAGAUUGGGCGUCGGUGGCACUGCAUGUGUCUUACCCUUCUUGGAGGCGCCGCCUGAGGCAUUUGGGUGCUCGGUUAGAGGAACUGCGGGCGGAGGGGAUGGGACCAGUGGCAGCAGGUGUUGUUCGCGAACGAGGAGUGGCGUGGCAUCUGGCACGUCGACAAUGGCGGGUCUCAGCGGCAUGAAGCAGCGCGGUCUCGCCGAUGGGCGUGUGAUGAUGGACGAGCGCAAGAUGGUGGCGUUGUCUGGCAUCGUGGUGGCGUCGACGGCAGCUAGACCGGACAGGGUCGAUGCCUCGGUACAGCUUUGAAGAUGGAACGGUGGAAGACGGCGGCGGCAGCCUCGGUGAGUGCGUCGGACCGGUGUGUGACCCGGUCCAGGUAUGUGGCCUGGAUGGGGCAUCCGACACUAGAUGCUAGGAUUUGGUGCGAAGUAUAUCUGGUAUUAGGCUCGGACAUUCGGUACCACUGCAUCAAGAGGAUAGGAGUAGCGACAGGUGUUGCCUUGAGGAUGGCUUCAAGCUUACUGAUGUACUUCCUUAUAAGGUCUUUUGUGAAUAAUUAAUAAAGUGGCUGCGUGCAUUGUCGAGAUGCAGAGGCCGAGGGUGCUUGUAUUUCAUAAAGAAUCUCACGAGACUACUUUGACGUUUUAGGUGUUAGUAUUUUUGUAGACUUGAUCAAACUUAAAACAAAUUUUACUUGAGACAGACCAUUAACUACAGAUAGAGUUACUUGUUGUUCACAAAGAUUUAUAACUCUGAAAAAACGGUUGGAAACAUGUGGAACGGCUCAACCCAUUUUCCUAAUAAUUUAGCAAUUUAUAUUUCCUCCUCAACUCGAUCAUUUCUCACGCCUAUAAAAAGCUCAGCAACCCAGAGCAGAACCUCCACGGCAACAACCCCUCCGAAAAGCGGAAAAGCCACGAUGACCAGGCCUCACACUGGUAGUGAGUCACCACUGGUGGUGCAUCUGCUGCUGUGUUGCACCUUUCUCCUGGCCGCCGCUGCUCCGGCGACCACCGCAGCCUCCGUUCCCGCCCCUGCUCCGACCCCGACGAAGCAGAACAUGACGUGGGACGUGGAGUACAUCAUGUGGUCGCCGGACUGCCAGCAGCGGGUGAUGAUCGGGAUCAACGGCAAGUUCCCCGGCCCGAACAUCACCGCCCGCGCCGGCGAGACCCUCAGCAUCACCGUGAACAACAAGCUGCACACCGAGGGGCUGGUGAUCCACUGGCACGGGAUGCGGCAGGUGGGCACGCCGUGGGCGGACGGGACGGCGUCCAUCUCCCAGUGCGCCAUCAGCCCGGGGGACUCGUUCACCUACGAGUUCGUCGCCGACAAGGUAGGCAACGUCGCAACCGAACAAAACCCCGUACCCGGAAUGGCCGGGCACGUGGAGAAGACCCAAGGAACUCAACUGAACUGAACCAAAUUUGUCCGCUUGUGCAGCCGGGGACCUACUUCUACCACGGGCACUUCGGGAUGCAGCGGGCGGCGGGGCUGUACGGGUGGCUCGUCGUGAACGCCACGGCGGAGCAGGACGAGCCGUACCGGAGGGACUACGACGGCGGCGAGCUCCGCAUGCUGCUCAGCGACUGGUACCACGACAACGUGUACGCGCAGGCGGCCGGGCUGGAGCAAAAGUACGAUCACUUCCAGUGGGUCGGCGAGCCGCAGACGAUCCUCAUCAACGGCAGAGGGCAGCACGACUGCAUGCUGGGCACGGUCACGAGGUUCCACCGGGGCAUCGACAGGCACGCCAAGACCUGCGUGAGGGACAAGCAGGCCAAGCUGUGCAGGGACGAGGAGAGGUGCCUCCGGCGGAGCGAGUGCGGGCCCUACUGCCCGCAGAGCCAGUGCUACCCCGUGGUGUUCGACGUGGAGCCUGGCAGGACGUACCGGCUCAGGAUCGCCAGCACCACCUCACUCUCUGCUCUCAACGUGCAGGUCCAAGGGGUAAGAAAGAAAGACAACCAUUUCUUUUUCCAUUCUUUUUUUUUGAACUUCUUUUUCCAUUCUUCUUCAGUGAGAAAUUACUUAUUGAUGGUGGGGGUAAUUUUGAAGCACGACCUGACGGUGGUGGAGGCCGACGGCAACCCCGUGGAGCCGUUCACGGUCCCCGACAUCGACAUAUACUCCGGCGAGAGCUACUCCGUGCUCCUCACAACCAACCACACGCCGACGUUCUACAGGUCGGGGUCCUUCUGGGUCUCCGUCGGCGUGAGAGGACGGCCCCCCAAGACGCUGCCGGCCACCGCCGUCCUAAGGUACACCAACAGCAGGUUCCCGUGGCCAGGCAGCCCGCCCCCGGCGACUCCGGCGUGGUACGACCUGCAGCGCAGCAAGGGCUUCACCUACAGGAUCAAGGCCCGGAGGAACGCCGCCGAGGCGCCGCCGCCGCCGCGGACCGAGCAGGUGAACCGGACGAUCGUCAUGCUCAACACGCAGACCCUGGUGGGCGGGCACAUGAAGUGGGCCGUCAACAACGUGUCCCUGACGCUCCCGGCCACCCCGUACCUCGGCGCCUACUUCUACGGCGUCCAGGGCAGCGCGUUCGACGCCUCCGGCGAGGCGCCCAACGGGUUCCCCGGCGGGUACGACAUCGACCUGCCGCCGGCGAACAACAGCUACGAGGCCACGCUCAGCGACCGGGUGUACGAGCUGCCGCACGGCGCCGUGGUGGACGUGGUGCUCCAGAACGCGGACAUGCGGAGGGACAACGACAGCGAGACGCACCCGUGGCACCUGCACGGCCACGACUUCUGGGUGCUGGGGUACGGCGAGGGGCGGUACGGCGGCGGCGGCGGCGGCGAGCGCCUCAACACGGAGGACCCGCCGCUGCGGAACACGGUGGUGUUGUUCCCGCACGGGUGGACGGCGAUCCGGUUCGUCGCCGACAACGUGGGCGCGUGGGCGUUCCACUGCCACAUCGAGCCGCACCUCCACAUGGGCAUGGGCGCCGUCUUUGUCGAAGGGGCCCACAUGAUACGCGAGCUCGACGUGCCAAGGGAGACCAUGAUGUGCGGGGUGAUCAGGACGGCGGCCGCAUCCCUGACUCCCGCUAAGCCAGGCUCGCCGGCGCCAUCGGCUCAUGGAUAAGCUCCUCCUCGCAUGCCUGUUCCAAUGUAUCCGUGGUCAUUUGUCAGUGCGCAGUGCAAAACAAAGGCCUUCCAGUCAGAACUCCAAAUAUCAGUAGUUGGCAAAUGUAAAAUGUUUUUCACUGCACAUUCUCACUGAAUAAAGUUUUAUUGAUAAAGAAAAAUGUCUGCUUUCUGAUAAACGUCGUCUUACAAUGAAAAGAUAAUUGUUCUGAAAUUUUCAUUGAUUGGCCAAUUAAUUUUAAGAUUCAGGUACAUAGUUACUGUACUAUACCAAGUAAGAGAGUAAUUUUUAUUGAUUGGCCAAUUAAUUUUAAGAUUCAGGUACAUAGUUACUGUACUAUACCAAGUAAGAGAGUAACAGACCCUUCAAAAAAAAUAAGAGAGUAACAAACAGUACGCAGUUAGCUCAGCACCAGGGUAAUAUCGAAUGAAAUCAUUCAACCAACGAGAAAGUUAUGCACUAAGAAAUAGUGCCAUGUCCAGCGUACUGCGUGUAAGACAUAAAACACAAAUGGAACAGACAUGGUCAAUCGAGAUCCGAAACAGUACAGGAGCACUCAAUAUCUUUAGAAUUACAAGACAAGCUAAUCUGCAACGAGUAUCAAAUUCAAUCUUCAACAUCCGUGAACAUCCGGUGAUUCUUACUCCUACCAGGCUACAUAUUCUACCAAAACCAUGGAAUCCCAUCUCAAAUCCCAGUUUCCUUCAUAUGUCACUUGAACAGCACCAUGUAUGAUAUUGCAAGAAAACCUUGUGCGGGACAUGCUCUAGGAGCAGACAGGAAACUUAUCUCGAAAGUUGCUACAUCAGUCGAUCUUCACAGAAGCAUAGAUCUUCCUCACAAACCAGAAGCAAGCAUAGAAGCCAAUGGUGCCGGUCAGGACGAAGAAGGCAUAAGAAAUGAUCAGCAUGUAACCAAAGUAGAGAAUGCCUGAAACAAGCUUUGUGAUCUCCAGCUUGUUGAAGAAGUAGAAGAUAGCAUAAGCGAAAAGAUAUAGAGCUGAAGAGCCUGCGGUCAGGUAGGCUCUCCACCACCAGUGGUAGUCCUCGCUGCAUAGCUGGAAGUAGCAGAGCACAAUUGUGAUCUCAGCACAGGUUACCAGGAGAAUGACGAAGACUAUGAAGAGGAAGCCAAAGAUGUAGUAGAACUGGUUCAGCCAGAUAGAUGUGAGGAUGAAGAAGAGCUCAAUGAAGACAGCACCAAAUGGCAAUAUGCCACCAGCAAGUAUGGAGAACGCUGGCUGCAGGUACCAUGCUUGCUCGGGAAUUUGCCUGGGAAUCUUGUUUGUCUUGACUGGGUCCUCAAUGGCUGGCUGCUUGAAUCCCAAGAAACUUCCAACAAAGACCAGUGGCACGGAGAUGCCAAACCAGAGAAGGACCAGAGCAAACAUUGUCCCAAAAGGAACUGCACCAGAUGAUUUCUCACCCCAGAUAAGGGCAUUCAGGACAAAAAAGACCCCAAAGAUUAUACCAGGAAACAUGAAGGCAGUUUUGAGGGUGAUCUUCUUCCACUCAGUGCCCUUGAACAUCUUGUAGAGGCGAGACGACGUGUAACCCGCCAAUACACCCAUGAAAACCCACAGAAGGACCAUAGCAGUCAUGAGUCCUCCACGGUUUGCAGGGGAUAAGAAUCCAAGUAGCGCAAACAUCAUUGUUACCACUGUCAUGCCAAAGAACUGCACACCAGUUCCAACAUAAACGCAAAGAAGGCCUGAAUGAACAGGAGGCCUGAAGGCAUCACCAUGCACUAACUUCCAUCCAGUUUCUUCCUGGGCCUCCUCCUGAUUGUCAAGCUGAUUAUAGUUUGCUAUGUCCUUGUAAAGGGUCCUCAUCAUAAUCAUGGCUAUCAUGCCAGAAAGGAAAAGGACAAUCAUCAAGGAGUUAAUAAUUGAGAACCAGUGGAUUUGGCUGUCACUGGAAAGAAGGUAGACAUCCCAGCGAGAUGCCCAUAUGAUCUCACUAGACUGCAGAAGAUCAAUUGUGAAUUAAUCAGCACGGCAGGAACAUGAAUGCCAGCAACAAAGGAUGUGAAAAAGGUAAUAUACCUCAAAGGUAACGUCAUAAGAGAAUACAACAUAUGCAUCAGGGGCCACCUCUUGAGGUGUGUGACUACCAGGAGUUAUCUUCGUGUUAGCGUUGCAGGUUUGUACUGUAGGAUUCUUGUCAUCCCAGGCACCAUAUUCAUGUUUAAUGCUGCAUAAAGAUAGACAGUGAAUAGGCAAGUUAUGAUAGGCACAUGUACCUUCACAUAAGAUAUAAAUUUAUAAAAAGCCAAGCACUAAUUUCUAAAUAUUGGCUAUGUUGAACAUUUACUAUGGAGAUUAAACUAUUUAUGAAAUGAUCAAAACAUUACAUGAACAAAAAUUUCAAUUGGUUUCGGACUGUUCAGCUACGCAUACCCAUAACAAAACAAGAUCAAUUAGACCACGAGGCAUGCUAAGUUAGACAUGACUGAGUAUACAUAACAUACCUGCUAGGAAUCACAUGGAAGCCAACAAUACGAGCCUCUGGGGAGUUUAGGUCUUCAUGGUACAAGACUUUAAAGCUCAAGUGAUUGUUAAUAUAGUACUUGUCAUCCUUGAGCUGCCAAUGUUGUGCUCAAAUUAAACAAGUUCCUUGAUAAAUGUUUCAUGUUUCAGUGAGUAGCAAUCGACUUGGUGAGAUGCUCACCUUAUAGCCAACGCGGUAACCAUGAUCAAAGAUCGGUUGGCUCCCUUCCCGUGUCUGCCUAGGGACCACAACUGGGAGAUUAUCCAAAAUCCUGAUAGAAGGAAAGUACAUUGACAGGCACUGUAUUAUAGCUUAUGCGGAACAUAACCACAAUUCUAAACUUGGACCAGUAUCAUAUGUAAGCCGGCUAGACAAUCGUGUUAAUCCUUUUUUGGCGGGGAACAGUCAUGUUAAUCAACUGGCAAUACAACAACAACUUCAAAAUCAGAACAUACAUAUUCACUCGAUAUUCAUCAUCGAUCUUCUCUCUGAAAUUCUUUGCAGCUUCUGCAGACAGCUUUGUUCGACAAACAACUUUGCAACUCUCGUCCCUCCUCAUCUUGAACUGCAAAAAGUUGGGAAAUUGAACUUAAGUUAAAGCAAUUUCAUAUUAUGCUGUCAUGCUCUCUACACCCUUGAACAAACAGGCAAAAAAUCAUUUGUAGAGUAUUUAAUGCAAAAUACACAGGUAGUAUACUUACAUUAUAGACAGAGUUUUCAAUGCGGUCCCCACGAAGGACUUCCCCUAAGUUCUCAGCGCUGUUCUUAAUCACCUCAGGUUUGCAGUAGUCCAGGAAAUAAUAGUCAUAUGGAAGUUGUGUCUUUAUAGAUGACAGCUUGUUGACCUUCACCUGGAGAUCAUCAUCCUGCAAUAUGAACAUUUAGUCAACCUUUGAAAACCAUUGAGCAAACAGAGAAUAGACAGGAAACAAUGAAUAAAACUUCCAGACAAUCAUAUCUAUAUACCUAAAUNNNNNNNNNNNNNNNNNNNNNNNNNNNNNNNNNNNNNNNNNNNNNNNNNNNNNNNNNNNNNNNNNNNNNNNNNNNNNNNNNNNNNNNNNNNNNNNNNNNNNNNNNNNNNNNNNNNNNNNNNNNNNNNNNNNNNNNNNNNNNNNNNNNNACACACACUAACUCAAUUAUCCUAACCUGCAACUAUGCCAACUCAUCAUGCCAUCAUGCAUGCCCCACUAAAUUUAAUUCUCUCAAUAUGCAACUAUGCCAACUCACCAUGUCACUAUGCAUGAAAAAUCUCCAUGCACCAUGCAUGCUACUCAUUCUCAAUAAAUAUUUUACAACUAUAUAAUAACUAGAUAUUGCAAAUUGUAUGUACUAUUAUUUCAAUUCUCAUGUUGCUAAUCAAAAUACUGAACUUUCAUACUGCCAAAUCUCAUGCAUCUAAUUCCCACAGCAACGCGCAGGGUAUCAUCUCUAGUUUAGAAGUUUGGUUAUACAACUAUAACUGCCUUAAUAAUUGUAUGGUACGGUAAGUUGGUAACUGCCUCUCUGAAGAAAUGACAGUCACCAAUGCAACACAACAACUGGAGCUACAUAAACAAGAGGACUCCAACAACUUGUAAAUGAUGAAAUCAAUUAACACAACAAUCUAAUGGCACCGGAAAACAACAUGCAAGUGUUAACAAGUGUUAAUUAAGUUAUACAGAAUGUAUCAUGUUCUCCUGAUCUCCUGAAAUUGUAACUGCGCUAGGAGGCAACAAGAAACAACAAACAUGCACUUGUCUCUAAGGUGUGGCUUCUUCAAGUAGAUCGCCAAGCACAUAGGCAACACAUAUAGGCUUCAACAUAAACGUUACUGUUGCAGAAUAUACUUCUACACAUUUGAUUCUCAUCAGAAUAUCAUUCAAACAAGAGAAACAAAUGAGCUUAUAAUGGGUAAGGACACUGUUUGUCUAUAUCAAACUAUAUUAUGAUGGUAUAACGGAAAGGAACCUCAGGAUAUGCAUGGUGUUUUUAGAUCAUGUGGACAUUCUAAUACAACAACUCUAGUACAUCUACAAGCAUACUACAUAAGGUAUGUUGCCAUUUCGAACAUUUUAAUUUAAGAAUGGUCUGUUUGUUGUAGUUUGCAGCCGUCAUAUGAGGAUAUUAGGCCCUAGCAAGUUAGACGAAGACAACACUUCAGUUAAUGCCACUUUCACAAGGUUUGUGAUUGCAGUGUUGCAAUCUCCAUGAAACCCACCAAUAUACACAACAAUAGGUACCCUGCUGAAUUUUCUACCCAAAACGCACAAAUAGUUUACCACUCAGUAAAUACAUGUUUUCCAAUAGUACAAAGAAGACUAAAUUAAACAGCAAUGAAAAUAAGAGAUGAAGCGAUGACGUGUCUGACACCUCUAGAUGAACUCAAAAACAAGCAGAAACCAAAAAUCCCCUGCACUUUUUGAAGUGUGACCCGCACCCAUCCCACAAUAAUACCUACACGCUGCACCAAACACAGUUAACCACAUCAAUGGAUCUAACUAUAUUUUGCAAUACCGUCGCGAUUCAAGCUAAGGAGAGCUAGAAAUGACAUCAGGAGUCGGAGAAUGGAACGAGGAGCCUAACCCAAAUGCACCAUGCUCGACAAAAUUAAUCGCACGCAAUCGAAGGCCAAGCAAGCGGGCGCUGCCACGUACGGCUUUCGCCUUAUCUGCGGGUACGCCCAAAACGCACACGCAAGCCAGCAUAAAAUCCAGGCAUUCCGCUCUCCGCUUCCAUUGCUCAGGUCACUAAACCCUGAACCACAGACGCACCCCUACUAAUAAUCCUCCAAAUGAGCGGAGACCCUCCGAACACGGGGAAACGACGUCUGGGAAGCCAGAUCUGAGGACGCGGCUCCCGGUACGGCUAGAUCCACCGGCACGGACGGCCGGGAGGCCACCUAGAGCUUAGAUCCGACGGGGAGAGGGCGAGCGGGGGGUGGAUUGCUCACCUUCUGNNNNNNNNNNNNNNNNNNNNNNNNNNNNNNNNNNNNNNNNNNNNNNNNNNNNNNNNNNNNNNNNNNNNNNNNNNNNNNNNNNNNNNNNNNNNNNNNNNNNNNNNNNNNNNNNNNNNNNNNNNNNNNNNNNNNNNNNNNNNNNNNNNNNNNNNNNNNNNNNNNNNNNNNNNNNNNNNNNNNNNNNNNNNNNNNNNNNNNNNNNNNNNNNNNNNNNNNNNNNNNNNNNNNNNNNNNNNNNNNNNNNNNNNNNNNNNNNNNNNNNNNNNNNNNNNNNNNNNNNNNNNNNNNNNNNNNNNNNNNNNNNNNNNNNNNNNNNNNNNNNNNNNNNNNNNNNNNNNNNNNNNNNNNNNNNNNNNNNNNNNNNNNNNNNNNNNNNNNNNNNNNNNNNNNNNNNNNNNNNNNNNNNNAGGCGCGGGCGGGGGUGGAGACGAGGCAUACGGCGGCGGCGACGAGGAAGAGGGGGAGGAGGAGGAGGCGGCCGCGCGGGCCGCCGGCGAUCGCCAUGUCGGGGGAGAAGUGGGGGAGUAGUGUGCCGAGAAGAGAAAUAUGGGGUGGGGUGGUGGUGCCUGCCCUGGUGGUGGGGAACUCCGAGCUACGACGGCCUACGGGAAGGGUGCAAUGAGGCCAAUAAACGGCCGUGAUUCGUCGACGUAAUGAAAGGAAAGGGAUUACGUAUCGUAUGGGUCGUGUGGAACAAAAUUCAAAAUAGAAACCCCACCGACCGACAGAGGAGCCGUCUUAUUCCGACCUACACUGGAUGGCUCCCGUCAACCUCAAAUCAUUUUCAUCAUUUUGGAGUCGCCGGAAAGAAAGUUUUAGGUACAUUAUUAUUUUUUUUGAGAAACUUUUUAGGUACAUUUGUUGGAAGACACUUCACCUUCUUUGAGCUUUAUAAGCUCGUCAGUCGUCAAAGACUUUCUUUAUUCUUUACUGUACGUAUUAGGUGGCACUUUACCUUCUUGAACAGUUCUUUUGACAAUAUGAAAUACUUCCUCCGUCUGAAUUAAUUUGUUACUGAAACGAGUGCCUACAAUUCAUUUCAACGAUAGUUAAUUCUGGAUGAAGGUUGUACAAAACAACUAUCCCUCUUUGCUUCCGCCAUGCUCCUGGUCACGCUUGACAGCAGCAUUUUUUGUUACUUCCUCCGCCCAUAAUAUGAGUGUUUUUGACACUAGUGGCACAGAGAGAGUAUUUAUUUCUUCCUACACUUCCAACUUCGUAGUUGACAAUGCCGACCAUGCUCGCGAUCCACCGACACAGGCCGCCGGUUGUAGUUUAUAAAAUACCCAAGAUCAAGGGCAUCCAAAUUCUUAAUUUCGAUUUGCUUAUGGCUCGGCCUCUCAGGAGCCGUCAUUAGGCAGUCAUAAGUGACUCUGCUCCCCCACACACACACAUUUUCUUUCUAUUUCAAAAUUCCACAUAUAACACUCGGUAGAAAGAAUCUAUCGUACAACUACAAAACCAAAUACUCUAAAAAAGUUAACAGAAAGGCACUAAUGAAAUUCAAGUAUAUCCCAGUACCAAACCAAGUUUGAACAACCGUUCAAAAGCGAUCAUUCAAAGUCAAUGAAACGAUCAACAUUAAUGACUACCCUUUCCUCUUUCUCUACGCUUAGUUCGGCGCAACUUGCAACCCCUGGUAAAAUAGUCUCCACUGCAACUUUCUCAUGCACACGGCAAUCAAGUUACUGUGCGUUUCAAGUUUCAGAAAAGUAAAUAAGUAGGAAGAGAAAAUAAUUAAAGUUUCAGAAAAGUAAAGCAAAGACUGCUCGGUGCAUGUAGCUCCCGCUUGUGCAGGCCCGACCACUUUAGGUCUAUUGUACGCAGCUAUUUCCUACAUUUCUAUAAGAGGCGUGACAUGGUCAAGGCAGCAGAUUUACCACUGCGCCCAAGGCUCCUCUUCCCAGAAAAGUAAAGAAGUACCAAGAGAAAAUAAUUACAGGCUAGAGGUUACAGACAGAACCCGUGUGGUUGACGAUGUACACUAGCACGUGCAGUCCAGCACAGUUUAUUGCCCCAUCUUUAUUCAUACACAAAAGUAGAUACAACCAGCGUGUUCGAGCAUCUUGGCCUAGAAUGCUCUUGCUAAGAGUUCCAGGAAGUGAAACCAAAAAAGAGCUCAUGUGCGUUGGUUCAACAAUACAGGAGAUGAUAUUACACAAGACAAUAAUAUUACAGAAGACGCCGUGACCCAAGAAAUCUACAGAUAACAUAUGCUCGCUGACUCAAAAAGAAUGGGAUCUGACUAUAUAAUUACUACAGCAAAAAGCCCAGAAGUUUGAACUGCUCAAUUUAUUCAAUCUGCACUUGAGAAAACAUUGGAUCUCCCAACAAAGAUGAGAUCAG